rnacentral:rRNA from 1 species
UACGUAGGUGACCAGCGUUGUCCGGAUUUACUGGGCGUAAAGAGCGCGCAGGCGGUCGUUCAAGUCGAGUGUGAAAGCCCCCGGCUCAACUGGGGAGGGUCAUUCGAUACUGAUCGACUGGAAGGCAGGAGAGGGAAGCGGAAUUCCCGGUGUAGUGGUGAAAUGCGCAGAUAUCAGGAGGAACACCGGUGGCGAAGGCGGGUCUCUGGGCCGUAACUGACGCUGAGGAGCGAAAGCAUGGGGAGCGAACAGG